AUUGAACGCUGGCGGCAGGCCUAACACAUGCAAGUCGAACGAGUGGCGGACGGGUGAGUAAGGUCUGGGAAACUGCCUGAUGGAGGGGGAUAACUACUGGAAACGGUAGCUGAUACCGCAUACCAUCAGAUGUGCCCAGAUGGGAUUAGCUUGUUGGUGGGGUAACGGCUAACCAAGGCGACGAUCCCUAGCUGGUCUGAGAGGAUGACCAGCCAACUUGGAACGGAGACACGGUCCAGACUCCUACGGGAGGCAGAAGUGGGGAAGAUUGCACAAUGGGCGAAAGCCUGAUGCAGCCAGGCGGGGUGGAUGAAGAAGGCUUUCGGGUGGUAAAGUACGUUCAGCGGGGAGGCGUUACCCGCAGAAGAAGCACCGGCUAACUCCGUGCCAGCCGCCGCGGUAAUAC
rnacentral:rRNA from 1 species